AUGGGGGCGCUGGGGCUGCAGGGCCCGAGUGGGAGGCCCCAGGUGAGGGGCUGCUUCCUGCUGGCUGUGGCAGGGGCCACUUCGCUGGUGACCCUGCUGCUGGCCGUGCCCCUCACGGUCCUGGCAGUGCUGGCCUUGGUGCCGCAGGAGCGGGGAGGAUCGCAGGUGACGGAGACCCCCGGCCCAGGAGCACAGCCCCAGCAAGGACUGGGUAAGAGCGCCCGCCCGCCCUCCAGCCGCUCAGGGACUCCCGGCUCGCAGUGCACUGCACACGCUCCGCCUGCAGGAACGCAGGCGCCCCUGGGCUCCGUCGCCCUCGGGGGCCCCUCCUCAAUCGCCGACUCUUCUGCAGUUCCAGGGUUUCGGGAGCUGCCGGGGGAGGCGCCAGAAACAGAUCUCAGCCGCCCGCUCCCGGCUGCCCACCUCAUAGGUAACGCUGUGGGCCGGACGCGUUCGUAGCGCGAGCCCCGCUCCGCCC
rnacentral:lncRNA from 1 species